rnacentral:tRNA from 3 species
GCCCCGGUGGCGCAAUGGCAGCGCAGUCGAUUUGUAAUUGACAGGUUAGGGGUUCGAAUCCCCUCUGGGGCUCCA